rnacentral:rRNA from 1 species
AUUGAACGCUGGCGGAAUGCUUUACACAUGCAAGUCGAACGAUGAAGCCUAGCUUGCUAGGUCGAUUAGUGGCGAACGGGUGAGUAAUAUAUCGGAACGUAUCCAAUAAUGGGGGAUAACUAGUCGAAAGAUUGGCUAAUACCGCAUACGUCCUACGGGAGAAAGCUGGGGAUCGUAAGACCUGGCGUUAAUGGAGCGGCCGAUAUCUGAUUAGCUAGUUGGUGAGGUAAAGGCUCACCAAGGCGACGAUCAGUAGCUGGUCUGAGAGGACGACCAGCCACACUGGAACUGAGACACGGCCCAGACUCCUACGGGAGGCAGCAGUGGGGAAUUUUGGACAAUGGGCGCAAGCCUGAUCCAGCCAUUCCGCGUGAGUGAAGAAGGCCUUCGGGUUGUAAAGCUCUUUCGCAAGGGAAGAACACUUACUUAAUAACACUAAGUGAGGUUGACGGUACCUUGAUAAGAAGCACCGGCUAACUACGUGCCAGCCGCCGCAGUAACAC